UGCCAUGUGCUUCUGGGAUCACAAGGAAGGGUGACGAAUCAACCAAAGGAAACUGCAGUCUCCUCAGUGUAAAGGGAGGAAGACCAGCCAAUCAGUGAUGGAAGAAUGGACGAAGCAGCUCCACAGAGGCAGCAGGCCUCUCCUCCUUAAAACAACGUUUCACUCCGUGUUCCUGAGUGUCUGGGAAACUGGUGGGGUAAGGAUUAAAGCGUGACGGACAUAGUUUCCUACUCAUAUUCUUUCAGUGGGUAUAAGGCACAAGUAAACCUGACCUGCCUGGCGAAUCUUACGUAGAGGCAGGUAAAAUCAUUUGCUGAGGAAGGACAGUCUCCAAAAGCACCAGUUUUACAACAUGAAUCAGAUCACGUCACCCCCUUGCUUAAAACCCUUCAUGGUGUAAUUGCUGUCCUCAGAAUAAAAUCCACCCUACCUCCCAGAGCCCACAAGCAUUGCCUGUCCUCUGCAACCACAUCUCUUGUGUUCUCAUUCUAACUCACUAAGUCUUGGUCAUCUUAAGCCAAACUCUUCCCCACUCAAGCUCUUGUCUUGACCAUGGCUGGACAGUCUUCCUCCUGGACUUCAGAAGGCUGACUCAUUCCGGUGCUCCAGGUCUCAGUGCCAAUACCACCCAGUUAGAGAGGCCUUCCUGAUCCAUCCAUUCCCACCCGACCUCUCCCAUCCACCAUGCUGAUCUUCCCAGCACCGACCUCAGUGCACCUGUUUCUUGUUUACUGUCUGCCUUUAUCACAAAGCCAGGGGCACAACUAUCAUGUUCCUUGUGUCCACCACAGUGAGAGGCAACAGAAUAAUGUUAGGUAAAUAUUUGUUGGCUGGAUGAAUAGACAUGUUUGGAGGAAUGAAAGAAAAUGUGGUCAAGUACUUAUUUAAUCAAAGUAAUUUGUCACGAGACAUGUUUCUACAAUAUUUUCUUAGCCUCUUUGCUGAAAACUCUAUCUUGUCCUGCUUUACUUUACCCCAUCUUCCUGCUGGAAAAACAGUCGCAGUGACGGUGAAUGACUUAAGCUUAAGAACAAAGACCUAAAGGCAUAAGUUAUUCAUAGGGUCAGCUGAAUGAGGACUUAAUGCGUUGGUCCAGGUAUGCUGGACCUGUGCAGACUGGCACACUGUUUGCACAGCAUGAUAUGUCCUCUUAAGAAUAAAAGAGGAGCCCCAUAGCCCCAAGGGGUUUAUGAGGGGUCGUUAGCUGGAUAUGCAUUAGCAAAGAAGAACUGAGCUGCAAACCUAGGCACCCGGGUUGCUGCAGAUAGGCACGCUGGCUGCAGAAGCACAAUGGUGAUUCUCUAGAUGCUAUGCAUAGAUAGCUGAUUCCAAGCUUCCUCAAAUGCUAAUGAUUGUUAAAUUCCUAAAGGUCAAAAUAAAAGCUUAAUCAGCAACCGGCUAUAUGACUUUUAAAAUAACUUAAAAAAAAACCUAUAUCCUGCACCUACAACCCCCUUCUCACAUGACUUAAUCCUAAAAAACACAAUAAAAGCAGUGUGGUUUCUUCAGGUGGCACUCUUGGUCCCUGAGACCUUGAGUCCCCUGGUUCCCACCUUUACUUAAGAUAAAUGUCUCUGUGUCUUGUUUUAACUUUUUCCCCUAAUUUUCACAGCACCUGUUCUUCAGCCCCAUCCUGCUGAGCUGGUCUCGGCAGUAAUUCAUAAAGAUCUUUUAAAAAAUACUCAUGUCCUGUCCUCACCCAGGUUUUAGGAGAGAGAAGCUAGGAAAGAGGAGGGCUAAAGCCUGGGUUUCCAGGUGUGUGAAGUUCUUGAUGAGGCUGAAAAAAAGGCCAACUGGUAGGAGCUUCACUGUAAAGAUUAAAGAAGCAGGUUCUUCAUUGCUUGCGUGGUACUUGCCAAGGGUUCCAAUGAACCCAUGAGGAGGUAAGAUAUAUUUAUACACUGAAUAUCCAUUUUGAGUUUACACAAAGGACUUCUCAGGUGACUGUGAGUAAGCCAUUUGGGUAAGUUUCUGUGCUCUUAAAUGAACCAUGUUUAUGGAGAGAAGUGAUGAGGCUUGUUAAUUUACAUUUGUAAAAACACUGAAAUCUCUGGAUGAAAGAAUUUCUGCAGAGAGGUACAAAGGAUGAGGUAACAUUUGGGGGUCAAAUUCUACCCUUUUGCAGAAGAGGAGAGGGAGGAGGCAGGCUCUAGGACUUACCAGGAGCCUCUGGCACAUUAUUUUUCAAGUCAAUCUUCUAAGAAAACUGCCUGUUUUCAAGUGUAUUCAUCACACACACCAGUUACUAUGCUAUUAACUAUUUUCCUUCUCUCCUAAAAUCCUAGCUUUGUGUAAAGGGAAUCUUGAGGGGGAUUUGCCUGUGAGGUUUUCCCUCUACAGUGCUUUUUUUCGUUUGUUCAUUUUCACCCUACAUCAGUGAUAGCAGUUCCCAAGCAUGAGUCUUUGUUGCUGAGCUGAUUGGGACCCAAACAAGGUCAGUUCAUCAAUUCUUGACAGAUGUUUACAAGGUACAGUCAGAGAUUAGAGUAAGCUUAGGAGCGAGAAAAGAGAAAGAAUUUCAAAGAAAGCUGCCCGUCUAUGAGUUCAUUAUAUCCAUUUAUAGAAAACAGUAUUAGUAGUUACUCAAGAAUUAAUACCAAUAGGGUAGAACCUAUUCUUAGGAUAAUCAUCUCUUUCAGCAAGGUAAACACAGACUCAGAGAUAAGACAUUAACUGUGAAACUGCCAAGGCAAAAGCUAAGCUUAAAAAAAAAAGGCAACCACCUUUUCAAAAUGCCACAGAAAUUACACACUUGUGACUGCCCACAAGAACAUGUACCUUUCUUAUAUUUUUCUGGACCUAGUUUUGUUCUCUUUGGGUGGGAGGUGGGUAAUCCACACUCGAGUUACUUGCUCUCAAGAACAAGAAGGACUUACCUGCCUUCUACACCUUGCUCUCCUUGAAAGGAGACUGAGCUCCUUGUGAGUCCAGGCAAGCUAUGUGUCAUGGGAAAUGUGCCUUCAGAAGGUGGAAGGGCUUUCUGGUCCUUCUCUGUAGAUCAUUUCUCUGUGGGAUUUUUUUUUUUUAACAGCCGCACCUGUGGCAUAUGGAAGUUCCCAGCUCUAAAAAAAGCAAAAAAAAAAAAAAAAAAAAAAA
rnacentral:lncRNA from 1 species